rnacentral:rRNA from 1 species
UACGUAGGGUGCAAGCGUUUGUCCGGAAUUAUUGGGCGUAAAGAGCUCGUAGGCGGUCUGUCGCGUCUGCUGUGAAAACUCAGGGCUUAACCCUGAGCUUGCAGUGGGUACGGGCAGACUAGAGUGCGGUAGGGGAGACUGGAAUUCCUGGUGUAGCGGUGAAAUGCGCAGAGUAUCAGGAGGAACACCGGUGGGCGAAGGCGGGGUCUCUGGGCCGGUAACUGACGCUGGAGGAGCGAAAGCAUGGGGAGCGAACAGG